rnacentral:lncRNA from 1 species
GAAAAUGACAAACGGUAGGGAUUUUCCCUACCGUAAUUGAUCAAAAAAAGAUUGUAUAUAGACUUAAGACUAAUAGCAUGCCAUGACCACAAAAACUGCUCUAGCUGACCCCAAAGACGAUCGACUAAGCAACCCUGCUAGUAGUGGACAACACAAAAUGCCACCAAUCUUCUUUACAUCAAAACUGGAUGACCACAUCAUUAACUUAUGGACCAAAUAGCAAAGGGAGCAGCCAAUAGCGCACAGAGCAGCAAGGCGACCACCGAACUGGUUAUGAACCUAAAAAUACAAAGCAAACAGAAUGUAAAGCCAGAGAAAAAAACACAUACACAUGAACAUCAGAAAUAUGAAAUUGUCAACUGCCAUAGAAAAGCACAAGGAGGCAUUAUAUACAGACCCAGAGAAGGAAGAACAGGAACCCCAAACAUGUGUGUAGGCAUUUCAAAGAGCUAACCCAAGGGCUCAUAGAUCCAAUUUAGAGAGCUCAACAACGAAGCCGAAUAAAAUAUAAUCGACCGACUAUGCAAAGAUGAUAUCUAAAUCCCAAUCUCAUUGAACCACGCAAACUAAAGGAGCCUUGAAGAAAGCAUCGACAACCUAAAGCUGCAAGGGGACACUAUCCAAAUGAACAGAAAACACAAUAUACCACACCCAACCAGCGACCCAAACUAACACCAGAUUGAUCCACUCAUCAGACCAUAAAUCAAAUGACCCACACCAAGUAUUAAGAACCGAGAAGCACGCCGCAACAUGAAAAUCAAGCCAACUCCAAGAUAACUGAAUCUAUUUUAACCCUCUUCUCUCAUCAGAUCUAUAUAUUCCAACUCAAAGAUCACCAAAUCUAUUUUAGCCUUCAUCCCUCACAAGAUCAAAAGAAACCAGCUCUUAGCAAAUCCAUAUACCUAAGCAACAAAGCACCUCCUAGGCAGGCCCUCACUACCAGCUCUCACCAGAUCCAUAUACUACAACUCCAAGAUAGCUGAAUUUAGUCUAGCCUUUAACUCUCAGAAGAGUCAUCUAUUCAAUUUCAACCAGAGCACCAACCCAAAAGAGGCAAACUAAUGCAGCAAAGCACCUCUUGGGCAAGACUAAUCAUUAUAUGACCUCAAGAAACAUGUCAGACCUACCCCACUGGUCAACAACAAAGCCAUACCACCCUAAGAAUACAGCUAGGUCCAAUGACCCCCUGGACAUUGUAGCACACACAAAACCAACCAGACAGAUGUAAGAAAUCCACUCCUCUAUUUUAGUCUCUACCCCUAAGCAGUCCCAUUUAUCCAUAGAAAACCAGCAAUUAAGAAAGGCACACUAAAAACUGAAGCAUCUCAUGUGGUAACUCUCAUUAUCAUACAACCCUAAGAAACCUGACAACCCUAACCUGACCCUCUCCUCGACAACAAAGCCACAUCACACCAAAUAUGCAGAUACAUCCAAAUAUUCAAUGUUUGGCUGGGCAAGAAGACACCAAUAGAACAAGACACAUCUAAAAAGCUCCUUCCUUGGAACCUAGCUAGAUCGAAAAAACAAAAGCACACCAACACAGGAAGAUAACAAAGGAAUCCCCCGAUCUGCCACUGUACGCACCCACCCCAACGACAACCAUAUCACAGCGGCACAUGAACACACCCCAGCGACAGGCUUAUCACACCGAGCCGAACAACAAUCAACCAAAAUACAGAAAGAACCAAAAAACAACGAAAAGGGAAAAGAGAGUCAACCUGCAUAUCCUUGGAGCAAGACGUGAAUAUCAGCACGGGCCCGACGACGAACAAGAGAGGAGAGACCAAGCAGGAGA